UUUGUUGAUUGUGCUAGGGAGAUGGUGGGGUUAGUGCUGUGAGGAGCUGCGCAUGAGAAAUCACCAAGAAGUUUCUAUCUGAGAAAUCCUCCAAGAAAAACAGCUAGAAGAAAAUAUCUACAAAUGAAGGAUCCAUCAGAUUCCCCCCAGGACAAUUCUGUAGCUGCCCAUGCAAUUCCACCAGAGCUUUUCCCCCCUGUAUCAGGGUCUUACAGUCAAAGAGGAAGGAUGUAUUUAUACCUUAUUAAGAACCAGGUAGAUCUCACACAGCUUGUAAAGUACAGAGACAUCCUGUGAAAACAACUCUCUCAAGUCAAGCACUUGUGUUUUCAGGGGGCAGGAUUCAGUUUUGUGCAUCCUGCUGAGAGGAUUUUGUGCACAGUUCAGGAUUUGGAGUGACCAUGUGUCUUCUCCCUGUGCAUGGCAGGAAUCACAGUAUCCAAGCUGGAAAGUCAUCAGAAUAGCUGUCAGGGCUCAAGGAAGCCACUGCUGCUGCUGUGUGGCUGUCCUCUUAAAAUCUAUGGACAAGUUGUCCCCAGGCAGGCUGGCAUCUUCUGCAGAUGAGAUCCUCAGUUUUUAGCCAGGGAGGUGGCACAGCAAACCUUCCAGCUGCUGCCAAAAACCCAGGAUCAAUAGUUCUAAGGGAGAUGCCAACUGUCCUUGAUCCAGUGCA